rnacentral:rRNA from 1 species
UACGUAGGGGGCUAGCGUUGUCCGGAAUCAUUGGGCGUAAAGCGCGUGUAGGCGGUUCGGUAAGUCCGCUGUGAAAGUCGGGGGCUCAACCCUCGAAAGCCGGUGGAUACUGUCGGGCUAGAGUACGGAAGAGGCGCGUGGAAUUCCUGGUGUAGCGGUGAAAUGCGCAGAUAUCAGGAGGAACACCAAUUGCGAAGGCAGCUCGCUGGGACGUUACUGACGCUGAGACGCGAAAGCGUGGGGAGCAAACAGG